UACGCUUCCCGACCACGUGCUCGAAACCUGCACACUAUAGUAGGGGUGAGCUUUCGUCCUCGCAUGCCUAAUAGGGGCCGACCCAACCAUGCUAGGUUUGAAAACAAUAUACUUGAAAAUAUUUACUACAUAAUAUUGUGCACGUUUAUCGAAAAUACUUUAAAAAUAGGCAACCACAAACAUUUAUUUCUUUUAUAAAGCAUAUGCAGUAUGCUUCACAUAAUUUGGAGCUCCGAGAUACUUACCUGCCGGCUAAACUCAAACACAACGGUGACCGACUCGGUUCAUCAUCCUUCGAGAACCGGCCAACUACUCUGUAGUCCGUGUGACUACAAGUAGCGAAAGUGUCCAUUUCCUGGCUCUGAGUCUCCUAUGACUGGUUCACUGUCUGUACUUACCUUUCCUCGACAAACAUAGGAGCACAGCCCCCUCCGGAGGUUCAGGGUUAUCGACACCGUGGGAUCCCUAGGAAUCUAAGCGUCUAGGUCCCAUUCACUUUCAGGUCACAAGUAUAAACAUACAAGGGUACAGUAUCUCAACAUGCAAGUCUAGCCUCGGUUUUCGCAAUUAGCAAUUAUCAGUUCUGAAAACACAUGUAUCACGAGGCAUCGACUAAUGAACAACCAAAAACG
rnacentral:lncRNA from 1 species